GCUGGAAUAGCUCAGUUGGUUAGAGCGUAUGGCUGUUAACCAUAAGGUCGGAGGUUCGACCCCUCCUUCUAGCGA
rnacentral:tRNA from 1 species